GUGGUGAGUUAAGGUGUGGUAAAUUAAUGUGUGGUGGAUUUAGGUGUGGUGAACUAAGGUGGGGUGAAUUUAGGUGUGGGGAGCGAAGUAGUGGUGGAUUUAGUUGUGAGCAGUUAAGGUGUGGUGAAUUAAUGUGUGGUGAGCUCAGUUGGAGUAA